rnacentral:rRNA from 1 species
UACAGAGGUCUCAAGCGUUGUUCGGAUUCAUUGGGCGUAAAGGGUGCGUAGGCGGCGCGGUAAGUCGGGUGUGAAAUUUCGAGGCUUAACUUCGAAACUGCAUUCGAUACUGCCGUGCUAGAGGACUGGAGAGGAGACUGGAAUUUACGGUGUAGCGGUGAAAUGCGUAGAUAUCGGGAAGAACACCCGUGGCGAAGGCGGCUCUCUGGAACGCAACUGACGCUGAGACGCGAAAGCGUGGGGAGCAAACAGG